AGAGUGGUCUUCCCUGAUCCAGGGGUCUGAACCCAAACAAGAUGAUCACAAGAGAUUGCAACAGAGCUUCCACCUGCUUUGUGGUUGUGAAGUUAUAGGAUUCGGGGUACACUGGCAUUUCUAAGUCAUUCCUUACUCUUUGGUGAGAACCCAGUGGUAAGACCAAGGGAAUGAUGCCUAAUCUUCCAGGGUAGCCACCCAUGUUCACCAGCUUCUGCUUCAGGGUACGGGCGACUUUCAUGGAAUAGUGCCUGUUCCCCAGAUCCCACUUGUUGCAAAUGGUGUACAGGAUUGGAACGUUGUUCGGGGAAAUUAGAAGAGCGUCACAGAUGACAUCUUGCCUCCUCUGAAGACCUAGAUCUACAGCCCAGCUGUGGGAGAAGAUCAAUAUCCCUUGAGAGAAACAGCGCAUUUCCAUAUUUAUUAAGUUUCUUAGUCCUCUGUAAUCUGCGAAGAGGUCCUUGUAGACGCUCUCUGGAGUAUAUGUAAUCCUGUUUGGUGACACUAGACAAGGAAAGAAUCGGAAUGAAUCAGAGACAAGCUAAUAAUC
rnacentral:misc_RNA from 7 species